rnacentral:rRNA from 1 species
AUUGAACGCUGGCGGCAGGCCUAACACAUGCAAGUCGAACGAGUGGCGGACGGGUGAGUAAUGUCUGGGAAACUGUCUGAUGGAGGGGGAUAACUACUGGAAACGGUAGCUAAUACCGCAUACCAUCAGAUGUGCCCAGAUGGGAUUAGCUAGUUGGUGGGGUAACGGCUCACCAAGGCGACGAUCCCUAGCUGGGCUGCGAGGAUGACCGGCCACACUUGGACGUAGACACGGUCCAGACUCCUACGGGAGGCAGCAGUGGGGAAUAUUGCACAAUGGGCGCAAGCCUGAUGCAGCCAGGCCGCGUGGAUGAAGAAGGCCUUCGGGUUGUAAAGUACUUUCAGCGGGGAGGCGUUACCCGCAGAAGAAGCACCGGCUAACGCCGUGCCAGCAGCCGCGGUAAUAC